UGGGGAAUAUUGGACAAUGGGCGAAAGCCUGAUCCAGCCAUGCCGCGUGUGUGAAGAAGGUCUUCGGAUUGUAAAGCACUUUAAGUUGGGAGGAAGGGCAUUAACCUAAUACGUUAGUGUUUUGACGUUACCGACAGAAUAAGCACCGGCUAACUCUGUGCCAGCAGCCGCGGUAAUACAGAGGGUGCAAGCGUUAAUCGGAAUUACUGGGCGUAAAGCGCGCUUAGGUGGUUUUUUAAGUUGGAUGUGAAAUCCCCGGGCUCAGCGUGGGAACUGCAUUCAAAACUGACUGACUAGAGUAUGGUAGAGGGUGGUGGAAUUUCCUGUGUAGCGGUGAAAUGCGUAGAUAUAGGAAGGAACACCAGUGGCGAAGGCGACCACCUGGACUAAUACUGACACUGAGGUGCGAAAGCGUGGGGAGCAAACA
rnacentral:rRNA from 1 species